CUCCCGUCCCGGGUCGCAGCGGCCGGGUCUCCCGCCGGCGCCCCUCCUCGCGGCCGUGCCGCCGCCCCCGUCUCGCUCUCCCCACCCAGUGCAGUGGCCGCCGCCUCUUCCGCCGCCGGGCUCGGGGCCUCCGCACCGACAACAUGGAGGCUGUGAAAACCUUCAAUAGCGAGGAUUGUGCCUCUACUCCUGCUUGUACAGACUGCUUUUCCAGCAGCAUGGACACAAGAAGCAUAUUGUAUUCCCUGAACGACUACAAACCACCCAUUUCUAAAGCGAAAAUGACCCAAAUUACUAAGGCAGCCAUCAAAGCUAUUAAGUUCUAUAAACAUGUGGUACAGAGCGUUGAGAAAUUCAUUCAGAAAUGUAAACCAGAAUACAAGGUACCUGGACUUUAUGUUAUUGACUCCAUUGUACGACAAUCUCGACAUCAGUUUGGUCAAGAAAAGGAUGUGUUUGCACCCAGAUUUAGUAAUAACAUCAUUAGCACUUUCCAGAAUUUAUAUCGUUGCCCUGGGGAUGACAAGAGUAAAAUAGUGAGAGUAUUAAACUUAUGGCAGAAGAAUAAUGUGUUUAAGAGUGAGAUUAUUCAGCCUCUUUUGGACAUGGCAGCAGGGAUUCCUCCCCCGGUUGUCACACCUGUUUUGGCCAGUACUACUGCUGCUAUGAGCAACACCCCAGGAACUCCUGUGACACCUGUUACUCCAGCCAAUGUGGUCCAGGGUCUGCCGGAUCCGUGGGUGUCUCAGAUAACAAACACAGAUACACUUGCAGCAGUAGCUCAAAUCUUACAAAGUCCUCAAGGCCAACAGCUUCAGCAGUUAAUACAAACUUUACAGCUACAGCAGCAGAAGCCUCAGCCUUCGAUUCUGCAGGCCCUGGACGCUGGUCUUGUUGUGCAGUUGCAGGCGCUCACAGCACAGCUCACGGCUGCAGCUGCGGCAGCCAACACCCUGAACCCCUUGGAACAGGGAGUGGCUUUCAACAAGAAGUUGAUGGAUAGGUUUGAUUUUGGGGAAGAUUCUGAGCAUAGUGAAGAACCCAAAAAGGAAAUUUCAGCCUCUCAACUUUCUCAUGUUUCAGAAUCUGUGAACAAUUCCAUUUUUCAUCAGAUAGCUGAACAACUACAGCAGCAAAACCUUGAACAUCUCAGACAGCAGCUCCUAGAACAGCAACAGCCUCAAAAGGCAACCCCUCAGGAUAGUCAGGAGGGAACAUUUGGAUCAGAGCAUUCCGCCUCACCAUCACAAGGGAGCAGUCAGCAGCACUUCCUUGAACCUGAAGCAAAUUUGGAUGAUUCUAUAGAUAUUCAGCAACAGGAUAUGGAUAUUGAUGAAGGGCAAGAUGGAGUGGAAGAGGAGAUCUUUGAACAAGAAGCAAAGAAAGUGGCUGUUCGCUCAAGAUCAAGAACACAUUCACGAUCUCGUUCAAGAUCACCCAGAAAACGAAGGUCUCGGUCACGGUCUGGUUCUCGAAAACGUAAACACAGAAAGCGAUCACGCUCACGCUCAAGAGAAAGAAAGAGGAAGUCAUCACGUUCAUACUCAAGUGAAAGGAGAGCAAGAGAAAGGGAGAAAGAACGACAGAAGAAGGGAUUACCUCCAAUUAGAUCUAAAACAUUAAGUGUAUGUAGUACUACUUUGUGGGUUGGUCAGGUGGAUAAGAAGGCGACCCAGCAAGAUUUAACCAAUCUGUUUGAAGAGUUUGGACAAAUUGAAUCCAUUAAUAUGAUUCCUCCCAGGGGCUGUGCUUACGUCUGCAUGGUUCAUCGACAAGAUGCUUUUCGGGCUCUUCAGAAACUUAGUUCCGGAUCAUAUAAAAUUGGGUCCAAGGUCAUUAAGAUUGCUUGGGCUUUAAACAAAGGUGUAAAAACAGAAUAUAAACAAUUCUGGGAUGUGGAUCUUGGAGUUACAUAUAUACCAUGGGAGAAAGUUAAAGUGGAUGACUUGGAAGGUUUUGCAGAAGGAGGCAUGAUUGACCAGGAAACUGUAAAUACUGAGUGGGAAACUGUGAAAAGCUCAGAACCCGUUAAAGAGACGGUCCAGACAACUCAGAGCCCAACUCCAGUUGAAAAAGAGACAGUGGUCACAACCCAGGCAGAGGUUUUUCCUCCACCUGUUGCUAUGUUACAGAUUCCAGUAGCGCCAGCAGUGCCUGCAGUUAGUCUAGUCCCACCAGCAUUUCCUGUCUCAAUGCCGGUUCCUCCUCCUGGAUUCAGUCCAAUCCCUCCACCACCUUUUCUGCGAGCGAGUUUCAACCCUUCACAGCCACCUCCUGGUUUCAUGCCACCUCCAGUUCCACCACCUGUUGUACCACCACCCACCAUUCCACCAGUAGUACCAACAUCUUUAGUGCAGCCGCCAUUAUCCAUGACUCCAGAAACUGUGAAAGAUGUUGGAUUUGGUGGUCUUGUUUUACCGGGUGGUUCUGUUGCCAGCAAUCUUGCUACUUCCACUCUGCCAGCUGGAAAUGUUUUUAAUCCUCCAACUAAACAAGGAGAGCCUGAAGAAAAAGUACCUCAUCUUAUAGACCACCAGAUUCCUUCUGGCGAAAAUACCAGAUCAGUGAUUCCAAAUGAUAUUCCAAGUAGCCCUGCAAUGUUAGGAGGACAGCCACCAAAUGUGACAAGCAAUUCUGGAAUUCUGGGAGUCCAAAGACCAAAUGUAUCGAGUAAUUCUGAAAUUAUUGGAAUCCGACCAUCUAAUGUUUCUAGUAGUUCUGGGAUUAUUGGAGCCCAGCCACCAAAUAUUCUAAAUAACUCUGGAAUUUUGGGACUACAGCCACCAACUGUGUCAAGUAGUUCUGGACUUUUGGGAGUGCUUCCCCCAAAUAUCCCUAAUAAUUCUGGACUUAUAGGAGUACAGCCACCAAAUGUUCCAAAUGCCGCUGGACUUUUGGGAACACAACCACCAGCUGGGCCUCAAAACUUACCCCCUUUAAAUCUCUCUAAUCAAAGGAUGCCUGCAAUGCCAAUGUUAGACAUUCGUCCAGGACUAAUACCACAGACACCUGGACCAAGAUUCCCUUUAAUACAGCCUGGAAUUCCACCCCAACGGGGAAUCCCUCCCCCAUCGGUACUGGAUUCACCUCUUCAUCCACCACCCCGUGGUCCUUUUCCUCCAGGAGAUAUUUUUAGUCAGCCAGAAAGACCUUUUCUAGUUCCUGGAAGACAAAGUGUAGACAAUGUUACUAAUCCAGAAAAAAGGAUACCACUUGGGAAUGAUAACAUUCAACAGGAAGGAGAUAGAGAUUACCGGUUUCCUCCCAUUGAAGCCAGGGAAAGCAUUAGUAGACCCCCCCCGGUGGAUGUUAGGGAAGUUGUUGGACGGCCUAUAGAUCCAAGAGAAGGUCCUGGAAGGCCUCCAUUAGAUGGUAGGGAUCAUUUUGGAAGACCUCCAGUCGAUAUUAGAGAGAAUCUUGUGAGGCCAGGCAUAGAUCAUCUUGGUCGAAGAGACCACUUUGGCUUUAAUCCAGAGAAGCCCUGGGGUCAUAGAGAUUUUGAUGAGAGAGAACAUCGGGUUCUACCUGUCUAUGGUGGUCCAAAAGGCUUACAUGAAGAAAGAGGUAGAUUUCGGUCUGGAAGCUAUCGAUUUGAUCCUAGAAGUGGUCCUUGGAACAGAGGAUUUGGACAAGAAGUUCACAGAGAUUUUGAUGACCGCAGAAGACCCUGGGAGAGGCAAAGGGAUAGGGAUGACAGAGAUUUUGAUUUCUGCAGAGAAAUUAAUGGAAACCGUCUUGGACGAGAUAGAAUUCAAAACACCUGGGUCCCCCCUCCUCCUCAUCCUCGGGUUUUUGAUUUUUUUGAAGGGGCCACUUCUCAACGAAAAGGUGAUAACGUGCCUCAGGUUAAUGGUGAAAAUACUGAGAGACAUGCCCAGCCACCACCUUUACCAGUACAGAAUGAUCCUGAACUUUAUGAAAAACUGACAUCUUCAAGUGAAAUAAACAAGGAGAAGAGUGACACAGUUGCUGAUAUAGAAAGUGAACCAGUGGUAGAAAGCACAGAAACUGAGGGGACAUAAUCAUCACUCAGUAGUUUCCGGAACAUGGUGUGGCCCUGUUACAGGAUGUUGCCUCUCAUCAUUCGACACCUGCAUUGUCCUGCAAGGUGACGAAUGAAGGUCUGGCAGCUUCCUGUGUCCCAAGCCUUGUAGAAAUAAAUGAGACGUGCUUCAAAGUUCUAAUGUGCAGCACAUCGGAUCUUGUUUAAGGAAGCGUUAAAAGGAACCCGCCGUUACCUAUUAAGAAGGCUCUGUGCUCUCAGGCAUUGUCUCUGAUUGAAUCCAGAGGUUGCAAGCAUGCCUCCCUGUAUUACCUGUUGGAGCAGGUUUAAUUUUAUAAAUUUUAAACACAAACUCUAUGAGUUUCCAGUUCAUAAUUGUUCUUUUUGAGGAUGCACUCAGAGGAACAGUAUCACAUCUGUAAGAGAUAUGCACUUCCGCAGGACCCGAGCUGAUUGGAAUAUAAAUGGCGACAAACUCCAUCAUCCAGUACCAGUGAUGGAAAGGGCAGAUGGCGAGGAAACCCUGCGGAGGGGGAAAAAGUCACACUGUGUUGGAACUACAGAUUAUUAGAACCAUAGCUUUAGUAAACCACGGCUUUUUUUCUCGAACACAACACGCAUAGACUGUAGUUCUUGACUGGUGACUUUGAUCCAUCAUGAGUCAUCUCCUUGGACCUCUCAGACAUUGAAAGUCUUGAGCUUUUGUUGAAAAGACAAUGCAGCUUUGAGAAAAUCCAGGGUUCAAGAUAGCCUUCUGGGUAUCUCGUUCCAGCCUUCAGUGACCUGUUUAUUACAAACGGCAGGUACCCAGGUGGUAGAUGAGAAGCCUAGUGUGAGAGGAAGGAAAUGACAAUGAACGGGCAUAUUACAUUGUAUUGUACACAUACUUUAUAAGUACAUUUCUUAUUAGCUUCCUGUUCAGGCAGAGAUUAUAAAAAGUUUGCAGCAAGUAUCCAGACCAGGAUUUUGUGUUUUGGAAAUUAUCAGUGUUCAUGAGACCUGCAGGGAAAACAGAACAAAAUAAUGGCAAAAAUGCAAAUAAGAGCACUCUUGACACCUAGAAGAAUAUUUUUUUAUCAUUCUUUGUUUUGGCUCUGUCACAAAUUAAAGUACUUGGAAUGCAGUAGUCUGUGGUCUCUCAAAAUCGAAUCAGUGAGAAACUUGACACUUUCACAGAAUGCUGUCACUUUGGAAUUCAUAAUAAAAACUGAAACUAA